CCCAGUCUCCACAGAGACUUCAGUGGUGUGAAAUUUAUCAAAUCUUCUGCCAACGCAAAUCUUGGAAUGAAUCAAACCCAGCAUCUGUUCCUGCCAAGUAACCAGCUUUGACACUGUGGUUGAAUAGAAGAUCUGUCCAACUGCUAUUUUUUUGACAGAGUCUUAAGUUGUCACUUUAUUUUUGGACCAGAAAAGGAAAAGAAUGUUUUCCACAUGGCCAGUCUACUCUAGGAGUGAGAAGAAAACAGUGAGAAAGCUGAUGGUAACAUAAUUCGCUUGGGCUUCCAACUGGAGAAAAGAGUGUGGAGUAAUGGACAAGAUCUCAAGCAAUAACAACUCAUUCAAGCCUCUUCACCAUCUUAAUAAGGGGAAAUAGCGAAGCUACAGAAGAGGGAAAAAGACGACUGCAGUAAUGCCUAUUAUCCAUUUCUUGAGGGAAAUACGGCAAUUUCAUUUAAAUGGAGAGUUAUGGAAGUUUUCAUAAAUGACAAUAUAAUCAUUUUAGGGUUAAAAAAGGAAUCUGCAGUUUGGCAUGGCAUAUUGGACAGUUGUUCUAUACCAAAGUGUGAUGGAUCCGAGGAGAUCAGUAUCCUGAAUUCAGUAAUAGAGGAAAUAUAUUA